rnacentral:rRNA from 1 species
UGGGGAAUAUUGGACAAUGGGGGGAACCCUGAUCCAGCCAUGCCGCGUGUGUGAAGAAGGCCUUAUGGUUGUAAAGCACUUUAAGCGAGGAGGAGGGUACUGGUAUUAAUACUACCAGGUACUGGACGUUACUCGCAGAAUAAGCACCGGCUAACUCUGUGCCAGCAGCCGCGGUAAUACAGAGGGUGCGAGCGUUAAUCGGAAUUACUGGGCGUAAAGCGUGCGUAGGCGGCUAAUUGAGUCGGGUGUGAAAUCCCCGAGCUUAACUUGGGAAUUGCAUUCGAUACUGGUUAGCUAGAGUGUGGGAGAGGAUGGUAGAAUUCCAGGUGUAGCGGUGAAAUGCGUAGAGAUCUGGAGGAAUGCCGAUGGCGAAGGCAGCCAUCUGGCCUAACACUGACGCUGAGGUACGAAAGCAUGGGGAGCAAACAGG